rnacentral:rRNA from 1 species
UACAGAGGGGGCAAGCGUUGUUCGGAAUUACUGGGCGUAAAGGGCGCGUAGGCGGCCACCUAAGUCAGACGUGAAAUCCCUCGGCUCAACCGGGGAACUGCGUCUGAUACUGGGCGGCUUGAAUUCGGGAGAGGAAUGCGGAAUUCCAGGUGUAGCGGUGAAAUGCGUAGAUAUCUGGAGGAACACCGGUGGCGAAGGCGGCAUUCUGGACCGACAUUGACGCUGAGGCGCGAAAGCCAGGGGAGCAAAUGGG